UACGGGGGGGGCAAGCGUUGUUCGGAAUUACUGGGCGUAAAGGGCGCGUAGGCGGUUGGAUAAGUCAGCUGUGAAAUCUCCAAGCUUAACUUGGAACGGUCAGCUGAUACUGAUGUGCUAGAGUGCAGAAGGGGCAAUCGGAAUUCUUGGUGUAGCGGUGAAAUGCGUAGAUAUCAAGAGGAACACCUGAGGUGAAGACGGGUUGCUGGGCUGACACUGACGCUGAGGCGCGAAAGCUAGGGGAGCAAACGGG
rnacentral:rRNA from 1 species